GCCACCACAGCCCUGCCACCACCACCACAGCCCUGCCACCACCGCCACCACAGCCGGUUCAUCAUCAUAUCAGACGAGAGAGGGAGAAAGUCGGAGAGAGAGAGAGAGAGAUAACGAGGCGGGAGAGAGAACCGGCGACGGUGGGGCUGCCUUCCCCAGAUGAUGACGAUGAUGACGUUGAUGGUGGUGGUUCCGGCGGCAGCGGUGGUGACCAUGCUACUGUUCAUCGUCUUCCCCAAAACGGUCAACAGAAGUCAAACGGCCUAAUUCUCGAUCAAUACCGGAUAAUAUUCAAAUUAAACUUGCAGAAACAUUGUACAAGUAUAAACAUACCGAUUGGGUGAUUAAAACUGAUCCGGUAUCGCGUGCAACGGCGUGGCGACAGUCUCCGGCGACGGGUAUUCCGGCGAGACUUGCAGACGAUGAACAGAGGGUAUUUUCGAAUGGGUAAGGGAUUUUGAAGGGUGUGAGAGUUUCGUAUGGGUUCAGGGACUCUAAAUAACACAACAAUUUGACACUUAAUCGACAAACUUCUGUGGAUUAAUUCCACUUUGAAUUUUUUAUAAAAACUCCGAUUUCACGUGGUGUCGGGCAUGCUUAUUGAACAAUUACAAAGCGUGGGGAGUUGUUUACGAUCUGUGAGAGUGGUGGUGGCAGCGGAGUGGUGGUGGUGGCAGGGCUGUGCGGAAUGGUGGUGGUGGCAGGGCUAGUGGUGGUGGUGUUUAAUAUUUACUUAAAUGGUCCUUUAUGUUACAAAUUUACACAAUCAGUCCUUAUUUACUAACUGACUUAACUGGGUUAUGAUUUUUGGACUGAAAUGGCACCUUUCCAGAACGUGGGGGACGAAAAUGGCGCAUUUUUGAAAAAUGGACUGAAAUGGCCAAAGUGACCAAACCACAGGGACGAAAAUGGCAGUUAACUC
rnacentral:lncRNA from 1 species